AACAUUUGGUUGGUUCUGUAUUGUUCUUUAGUGAGACCGCAACUUAUGAGGCUGUUUUAAUAAAUGUCUGGUCAGAGGCCAAUCAAAAGCUGCCAAAAUGGGUGUAGGGAAGCCUGUUUCCCACACAGUCUGCUCCUUCCCACCCUGAUCAUUGGAAAUAAGGUCUAAUAAUGAAACGCCUUCAUUUCCCUCCUUACCUCCUCACUGUCGGGCAUUUUGCAGCCUAUCAUUCCUAGACAGGAGCAAACCUACUCUCCCCCUUCCCUCCUCCCUCCUCCAGGCAAUCUAAGACAAUCUUGUUAAACCUUAAUGCAACAUAUGUUGAGGGCAGAUGCUCAUCUGGUGUAAAUUAUCCUGGCUCUGCUCAGUUCAAUGGUGCUCCAGUAAUUGUGAUCAGCUGAAGACUGUACCUUUUUUUUAUUUACGGUGGUGGAAAGCUGUUCCUUUUUGGGUAUGGAUGUGCAGAGGCUACAGGUUUCCUCUGCUUUCUUCCCACCUUUUGGGGGUGGGAGGAGGACACUGGAACAGCUACAUGGGUUUUCAAUCUACCUUCACCUGGAAAGCGUUAUGGGACAAUAAGUGCAGCAGCUCUGCUUUGUGCUGGACACCUGAUGGGAGAAGAGAGUCUGUUAAUCUGUGGAUGGGUGACUUUGGUUUGUGCUCGGCUGUUGCUGCUACUGGAUGAAAAAGAAUGCCACUGAAAGAAAACAACUGCAGACUUGAGCUUUGAAAUUUAAUUAUAACAACAUGGCAAGCUAUGUGUGAAGGAAAAGUUGAGAAAUGGCUUCAAACAUUGAAGAUUUUUGAGUUCUUGUUCUUUUUGUAAAGGUGUGAUGUGAGCAACCACUUGAAAAUUUAUCUAUGGGAAAUGGUCAAUAAGAAAAAACUCUUUUUGAGGAGUUAUAACUACUUACUAGUGUUAAAAAUCUGGGGCCAAUUAACUUUGUGUGAAACUUUUGUUCUGAAACUCCAAAGCAUGUGAAACUUGUCGGGUUGUGUUUGCUGCUAGAUUUGGCUGCGUGACAGCACCCAAGCACACAUCCCUGCCUGCCAUCCUCUUAGCAUGGCCAUAGAACAGCAGGAUGAAAUUAUUUAAUGCCAAGUGGAUCCAUGUGCUGAUAUGAUGGCAAGUGGGUUAUCCAAACAACAGCUGAUGGAUGUGUGCUGUGGUGGCAGGGCUGGGCUCCUCCAAAGCAAGGUGUCCCUAUGCUCUGUGCCACCUGGGCACACCUCGGUGCCCAAGGGCUUGGGUAGAUGCUAGCUGCUGACUCUGCCAGAAGGUGAUCCCUGCCUUCAUGCCCCUCCACGAGGGCUUUCAGCUUUCCUGGAGAGGGAGGGAUGGCGAAGCAGAAGGCAGGUCCCCCACAUCUGUGCAUACCAUUGUCUGAGAUCUGACUCUGGCAGGUGUAGAUUUGCAUGCUACACCUGAUAGCUCCAUCACCCUGGUGGCAGCAAGAAAGGCAGGGUGCCUGCGGCUGUAUUACCUCAACCCUCUGUAGGAAGAUUUACCAAGGGACAGGUGCCAGCACUGUAGGAGGGCCAUAGUGGUCCUGGUAGAUGAAUGAUCUGUUUUUACAUGGCCGGCCUUGCUUCUCCUGACAGGGAGACCAGGUAUUGUGGGUUUCCCUGGCCACAUACCCUGUACUCCCACCACCAGAGCCUGAAAUGGCACAGCCCGGUGACAUGGGCAUGGCUGGGGUCUUGCCUUCCCCCACCAGUCCCUGAAACCUUGGCAGCACUCUGUGAGGCUGGAGGGACCCAGAAGUUUAGCCAUUUUCCAGAAAAGCUGGGAAUUGUUUCAGGAGGCUACAGCAUGAGCACCACGGCAGGCAUUCAUAAUUCUAGGUGUCUGCUCUCAGCAGGCUGAAUUAUCCAUUGGGCUCCCAUGGCUUUCCCCUGCUUCUUGGUCUUCAGAAUAGACCAUCUUGGUCUACUGCUGCUGUGGGAAGAGUUGGAGAUGCGGUUGCCUCUCCUCUCUAUGCAAAUCAGCAAGGAAGGAAGUAAGGAAUCAGCUCCCAUCCAGCAGAUUUAUGCUUAGGACAUGUGAAAGUGACUCACAAGAUGCUCCUCUGAUGCUGGGGAGCAGACUGACAUGUAGCAGGGCAGGGUGACACCCCAGCUCUGCCUCUUAUGCCCAGACAUGUAAAAUUACGUUCCCAGUGAAAUUGUAAGGAAUUUAAGUGCAUAAUUGGGCAUCAGGCCUUUGCUCUUCCUCCUGUGCAGCUCCAUAUUUAUAUAAAGUGGGGAUAAUAUUUCCCUGUGUAAUAAAGGGUUUACAAGAUCAAAGUCCA
ensembl:lncRNA